rnacentral:rRNA from 1 species
GUAGGAGGCAAGCGUUGUCCGGAAUUAUUGGGCGUAAAGCGCGCGCAGGCGGUUCUUUAAGUCUGAUGUGAAAGCCCACGGCUCAACCGUGGAGGGUCAUUGGAAACUGGAGAACUUGAGUACAGAAGAGGAAAGCGGAAUUCCACGUGUAGCGGUGAAAUGCGUAGAGAUGUGGAGGAACACCAGUGGCGAAGGCGGCUUUCUGGUCUGUAACUGACGCUGAGGCGCGAAAGCGUGGGGAGCAAACAGGAUUAGAUACCCUGGUAGUCCACGCCGUAAACGAUGAGUGCUAAGUGUUAGGGGGGUUUCCGCCCCCCUUAGUGCUGCAGCUAACGCAUUAAGCACUCCGCCUGGGAGUACGGCCGCAAGGCUG